AAGGGAGUGAAAAAAACUGUCCCUUUGAGUUGAUUUCCGGAAUUAGUAUUCCAGGAAUAUCUUUCCACCCUCGGGGGUGGAAGAAUUUUUCCGGAGAAGAAAAUAUGGCCGUUCUCCUUCGAGGAAGAAAGAAGGGGACGGCAGUGCGAAGGAUUCCGCAGUAGCUCUUCCGCAGAUUAGCGGAGUUGCGGGAGAGGCUUUCUCUUCGUCGCCCCCUUCAUCUGCUUUCCUCUUCUCUCCCCCGGGCGCCUCCGCCGACGGCAACAGAGAUCCUAUGCUGUCAUCUCUUUCAUAGCAGCAGCAUGCUUGCUGCCAUCUUUGUCCAUAGCCGUACUGCAACACACGACCCUUCAAUGGUUUUAGAUUCUUAACAUGGCACACAAUAGAUCAGAAAUUGAACGCAGAGUUCAUGCUGUAAUUGACAAGUUUGCGGAACAUGGACUUCGAUCCCUUGCAGUUGCAUAUCAGCUGACGGCUUCGCAGCCUCCGCUUCAGCCUUCAAGGAUCCUGCCUGCAGCCAAGAGAGCAAGCAGCAAGCUUCCUGCCUGCAUGAAGUUCUCUCUCUCUCUUGCUUUCGUUUUUGCAUUUUCAUUUUUUAUAACAUUGCCGGUCGGGGUGUCACUUCAUCUUUCUGUUUGAGGUUCGGUGGGGGUGUCGCUUCAGCUUUCUGUUUGAGGUGUUGUGACUAUGAUAUUUAUGCUCUCCACUGUUCGCUUACUAUGUUGGCCAUUUCUAAUGGUCGGCUUUUCUUGCUUCUUGGUGCUGCUUCAAAGAAUGUUGUUACAAGAUUCUUGGUAUUAUUUGUUUCUAUAUCUGAGGUAUAUAUUGCAUUUCUGUUUCCCAGUGUAUCCUUUGUUGCAGCUCUAGGUUUCCUUCUUUAUGGAGGGAGGUAAUAUUUUAUUUUUCUCUCGGUCUUUGUUCUUCAUUUCAAAAUGAGAAUGGCAUAUAUGGUAUCUAUUCCUCUAAGUAGAUCUUAGGUUAAGAUCUCUCGUGGUCCUUCGGUUCGCAAAACUUUAGCGCAGGAGGUAAAGACUUUUGGCGCAUCAACAGUUAUAGUUGGUGCAUCCAAGAAGAACACCCUUGGAGUUGGGUACAACCAGAUACAUUGUGUUUUCCUUUGUCCGGCACUUUUAUUUUCUAAUUGUUGUUAUAUUUUGUUCAUCUUCCAGGUCCUCUGUUUCAAUUGCUCGAUAUUGUGCUAGACAAUUACCAAAAAGCUGUUCAAUUUUGGCUGUCAGUAAUGGAGAAGUUAUGUUUCAAAGAGAAGCAUCGGCAUUAAAUCGUCAAGGCUCCUUUUUGCAGUUUAAAGCAGUUCAUUCGUAUGAUGAUACUUGCAGUUCUUAGUCAUUCACUGAAUGUAUUCUGCUUUAAAUUGAACACAGGCUAUUUAUGAUGUUGAGGCGCUUUCCUAUUGAAUCCAAGGGUCGAAGGAAAAAGCUUCAUGAGAGCUAAGACCCUGAUUGACUCUUUGUUGCUCCUCCAGCACAUUUGCUUCACAGGCAGCAAGUAAUGUGCUAGCAAUCUUUCCAGUCCAGUGCUGCUGGAACCAUCUAGGAAGCUUAACAAGAACUUUUCAAGCUCAUCAAACUUGCUACUUCUCCAACGAGGAUCACAAGAUAAGACUAACCGGUCAAGUACGCCAUCAUCAGUAGAUGCUGAAAGUUGAAAGUUUUGCUUCAAGUGCAGAACGUGCAGAGACAGGAUAUAGUAUUACAUCUUCUGUGUUCAACAGCUGUUGAGCAUCCUCCUCAACCUACAUGCAUCAAAUGUGCUUUCAAUUAUACACAUGAAAGCAUCGGCAGUUUCUAGUUUUCUGAACUCUAAAAGAAAUGGUUGCAGACAAAUAUUGUUUCAGGCAGAAAUUAGAGAAUGAAAUUGGUAACACGUGAUGCACGAUGGCUGUAGAAAACUUAACCUCCUGAGGACUCUUAUAGAUAUCGGCGUUGUUUAGAAUAUGACUUUGGUUUAAUAACUGCAGUAGUUUUUGGUUUUUAAUUUGACAUUGAUUAUGCCACUAUUAGUACUGUAAUUGAGUUUGUCGAGCUUUAAUCAAGUUGAUAUAUUCAAA